rnacentral:rRNA from 1 species
UCUUCCUACGGGGGGCAGCAGUGAGGAAUAUUGGUCAAUGGACGAGAGUCUGAACCAGCCAAGUAGCGUGAAGGAUGACUGCCCUAUGGGUUGUAAACUUCUUUUAUAUGGGAAUAAAACGUUCCACGUGUGGGAUUUUGCAUGUACCAUAUGAAUAAGGAUCGGCUAACUCCGUGCCAGCAGCCGCGGUAAUACGGAGGAUCCGAGCGUUAUCCGGAUUUAUUGGGUUUAAAGGGAGCGUAGGUGGAUUGUUAAGUCAGUUGUGAAAGUUUGCGGCUCAACCGUAAAAUUGCAGUUGAAACUGG